GAUGAACGCUGGCGGCGUGCCUAAUACAUGCAAGUCGAGCGAACAGACGAUGAGCUUGCUCCUCUGACGUUAGCGGCGGACGGGUGAGUAACACGUGGAUAACCUACCUAUAAGACUGGGAUAAUUUCGGGAAACCGGAGCUAAUACCGGAUAAUAUAUUGAACCGCAUGGUUCAAUAGUGAAAGACGGUUUUGCUGUCACUUAUAGAUGGAUCCGCGCCGCAUUAGCUAGUUGGUAAGGUAACGGCUUACCAAGGCAACGAUGCGUAGCCGACCUGAGAGAGUGAUCGGCCACACUGGAACUGAGACACGGUCCAGACUCCUACGGGAGGCAGCAGUAGGGAAUCUUCCGCAAUGGGCGAAAGCCUGACGGAGCAACGCCGCGUGAGUGAUGAAGGUCUUCGGAUCGUAAAACUCUGUUAUUAGGGAAGAACAAAUGUGUAAGUAACUAUGCACGUCUUGACGGUACCUAAUCAGAAAGCCACGGCUAACUACGUG
rnacentral:rRNA from 1 species